GACGAACGCUGUCGGCGUGCCUAAUACAUGCAAGUAGAACGCUGAAGAGAGGAGCUUGCUCUUCUUGGAUGAGUUGCGAACGGGUGAGUAACGCGUAGGUAACCUGCCUGGUAGCGGGGGAUAACUAUUGGAAACGAUAGCUAAUACCGCAUAAAAUUGAUUAUUGCAUGAUAAUUAAUUGAAAGAUGCAAUUGCAUCACUACCAGAUGGACCUGCGUUGUAUUAGCUAGUUGGUGAGGUAACGGCUCACCAAGGCGACGAUACAUAGCCGACCUGAGAGGGUGAUCGGCCACACUGGGACUGAGACACGGCCCAGACUCCUACGGGAGGCAGCAGUAGGGAAUCUUCGGCAAUGGGGGGAACCCUGACCGAGCAACGCCGCGUGAGUGAAGAAGGUUUUCGGAUCGUAAAGCUCUGUUGUAAGAGAAGAACGGGUGUGAGAGUGGAAAGUUCACACUGUGACGGUAUCUUACCAGAAAGGGACGGCUAACUACGUGCCAGCAGCCGCGGUAAUACGUAGGUCCCGAGCGUUGUCCGGAUUUAUUGGGCGUAAAGCGAGCGCAGGCGGUUAGAUAAGUCUGAAGUUAAAGGCUGUGGCUUAACCAUAGUAUGCUUUGGAAACUGUUUAACUUGAGUGCAGAAGGGGAGAGUGGAAUUCCAUGUGUAGCGGUGAAAUGCGUAGAUAUAUGGAGGAACACCGGUGGCGAAAGCGGCUCUCUGGUCUGUAACUGACGCUGAGGCUCGAAAGCGUGGGGAGCAAACAGGAUUAGAUACCCUGGUAGUCCACGCCGUAAACGAUGAGUGCUAGGUGUUAGGCCCUUUCCGGGGCUUAGUGCCGCAGCUAACGCAUUAAGCACUCCGCCUGGGGAGUACGACCGCAAGGUUGAAACUCAAAGGAAUUGACGGGGGCUCGCACAAGCGGUGGAGCAUGUGGUUUAAUUCGAAGCAACGCGAAGAACCUUACCAGGUCUUGACAUCCCUCUGACCGCUCUAGAGAUAGAGUUUUCCUUCGGGACAGAGGUGACAGGUGGUGCAUGGUUGUCGUCAGCUCGUGUCGUGAGAUGUCGGGUUAAGUCCCGCAACGAGCGCAACCCCUAUUGUUAGUUGCCAUCAUUCAGUUGGGCACUCUAGCGAGACUGCCGGUAAUAAACCGGAGGAAGGUGGGGAUGACGUCAAAUCAUCAUGCCCCUUAUGACCUGGGCUACACACGUGCUACAAUGGCUGGUACAACGAGUCGCAAGCCGGUGACGGCAAGCUAAUCUCUGAAAGCCAGUCUCAGUUCGGAUUGUAGGCUGCAACUCGCCUACAUGAAGUCGGAAUCGCUAGUAAUCGCGGAUCAGCACGCCGCGGUGAAUACGUUCCCGGGCCU
rnacentral:rRNA from 1 species